GCUUAUAUGUAUCUCAUGAAUUUGGUGGUUUCUAGCUUUCUAUACAAGUGCAUGAAUUAUUGCAUAGUGUGUUUUGGAACAAGGUUAACCCUUGUGAUAUGUCCAUGUUACAGGUUAAGAAUGUACCUAUUCCAAAUGGUGAACCUCAAAAACCAUUAGCAUGUAGCCAAGUCUCUAACAAUAAGACUCUAGGUCAUGAAAGUGAAGUUAAUUUAGGAGGAGGUUUUAGGGAUCUUUCAAAACUUCCAACGCUGUUUCAGAGGUUAUAUUGGAGGGUUACAACGGUUGAGUAUUAGUUGAUUCUGCUACAAGUUUGCAAAUAAGGUUCAUGUAGCAGUGUGUGUGGCAGAAAUUCUCCCGAAGUUAGGAUACUCAACUGAUAAAGAUCUUAAAGAUGGGAGUCUGUUUCAUAAAAUCUUAUGUUUUCCUUGUUUGAUUUUGUAACAUUUUUGUGGAUUCAUAUGAAUGGGAUUUAGAUAUUUUUAGUUAUAUAUUUAUGUAUUUUAAGUAUUCAUUAAUAUAUUUGUUUAGAUCGUCAACAAAAAUUGCACCAUUUAAAUUUUUUUUUUU